UCCCUUUUGCAGAAAAGCAUCCAUAAAGAAUGAUGUUUCCACCUCCAUGCUUCACAGUUUGGAUGGUGUUCUUGAGGUUGCACUCAUCCUUAGUCUUCCUCCAAACACAACAAGUAGAGUUUAGACCAAAAAGCUCUAUUUUCAUCUCAUCAGACCACAUGACCUUCUCCCAUGAAUGAGUAUGUGGACAAGUGUCUUUUAUACAGGUAACAGUUCAAACCGGUGCAGUUAAUAAAAAGUGGAGAAAAGGAGGGCUUCCUGUGAGAGCUGGAAUUCUUACUGGUUGAUAGGUGAUCAAAUGCUUAUGUCAUAAACAAUAAACUGCAAAAAUAUAUAUUUUUAAAAUAUACAAUGUGAUUUUCUGGAUUGUUAUUUAAGAUUCUGUCAUUAGAGUAGAAGAGUAUACCUAAGAUAAAAAUGACAGGCUCUUACGUGGUUUGUAAGUGGGAACCUGCACAAUCCCCAGUGUAUCAAAUGCUUUUCCUCCUCACUGUAGAUAACUGAGGGGAACACUUAUUUUGAAAGUGCCAUGUUGACACUGUUUUGGAGUUGCAACACUGAGUUCAAAUGACUGCAAACAAUCCCAUAUGAUACUUCAUCUGGUGCCCACUCUAAAGCAAAACUAUAUUCUUUCCAGUUAUUAAUUUAAAAUAACUUUCAUAUUAUCUGUAAUCGAAUGUGUUCCAUCCUACAGUUCCUCCUUUAAAACCCUUGCCUCACACUUGAAUUGCCAGGCAGGAGUUUAUUUUACUAACGUGAUUGUUUCUUUAAUCAACAUGACAAAAUAUUUUGUCUUUUUUAUUUAUAAUACAGAGCUUAACUGUAGAGACCUACAUUUCGGUUGGAUAAAGGAGGGUACAUAAAUUAACCAAUAUCAAAAGCGUAUGUUGGUUGAUUGUUGUGGGUUUUUCCAUCUUCACACACACACACACACUCGAGACCGGUGUAUGUCCUGGUUAAGACUAUCCGGGUCCCCACAUGGUCAACCCCUCCCCCACACCUAUACCCGCGCGCGCGUCUGGAGCUAAUGAUUGCAUCUCGUCACUCACUCACUGGAGGAGCAGGAGCUGCAAACGCAGCAUCAAACAGCGUGUUCGUUCUCCAAGGUUUUCACUCAUGGAGAGAAGAACUUGGACCAAUCCAGGAUGCGGAGUACCAUAUCCAAGCGGGGAUUGAUAAACCAUGUCUCCAGCGUUUUAUCAAUAAUUUUAAAGCAUUGAUGCAUGUGAAAAGGACUCCUCUCUUGGGAGACUUGUUGAUGACGACCACAGAAGACCUAUUUUUGCAAAAUGAAAACCAUAAGUAAAGAAACCACACUUGUCUCUUCGCGAUUCGAGAUAUUACACCUGGAGAAGAACUGACUUACAACAACGUGACUCAAACUGGCCAUGGAGAGCACAGCCCCCAAAACACACUUCACUGGCACGGACACCCUGUUCAACAUGCCCGUCUCAGAUGAUAAUUUGCAGAGUGAGCGCUCGAAGUUGCAGGCCAGGAUUGACAAAUUAAAAACACCACAAUCGGUGUGAAACUCUGUAUGAAUCUACGGCUGAGAAGCGAAAUGCUCUUCAAAGACAGCGAACCUUACUCCUACUGCAAUUGGCAAACUUGGAUAAAAUGCUGGGCCCAGAAUCACAUCCAGUCACUUAAACAGCAGAAGAUUCUGUGAUACCCUCACCAACAGACACACAGGUAUGGUCAGAAAUUGACCAUGCAUCUCCAACCAGCGAAUGUGUACCACCACUGGAAAGAACGGAGUGUAUUUGUUGCCUUCCUUCACAACAUGGACACAGAUUCCAGCUCUGCAGAAGAUGGGAAUGUGUCCCACUCCAAUCCCAAGCUGGGCCCAGAAUCACAUCCAGUCACUUAAACAGCAGAAGAUUCUGUGAUACCCUCACCAACAGACACACAGGUAUGGUCAGAAAUUGACCAUGCAUCUCCAACCAGCGAAUGUGUACCACCACUGGAAAGAACGGAGUGUAUUUGUUGCCUUCCAAAUCAACAUGGACUAGGGUUAGGGUUCUUAACAUGAACGACACCGAAAUGGACCAACUUGCUGAUUUCCUGGGACAUGAUAUUCGUAUCCACAGGAAAUAUUACAGAUUACCCGAGGGAACACUAUUAACAGGGUAUGUAACCUGUUAAUCGAGUUUAAACUACCUGUCAAGCGUGUCCUAGUGACUUUGGAAGAAUCUGUGCAUAUGUCUGAAUACGAAGACUAUA